rnacentral:rRNA from 1 species
UACGGAGGAUCCGAGCGUUAUCCGGAUUUAUUGGGUUUAAAGGGUGCGUAGGCGGCUUGAUAAGUUAGAGGUGAAAUUUCGGUGCUUAACAUCGAAACUGCCUCUGAUACUGUCGAGCUAGAGAAUAGUUGCAGAAGGCGUAAUGAGUAGUGUAGCGGUGAAAUGCUUAGAUAUUACUCAGAACACCGAUUGCGAAGGCAGCCUUCUAAGCUAUAUCUGACGCUGAGGCACGAAAGCGUGGGGAGCAAAC